rnacentral:misc_RNA from 1 species
UCAAACAAGGUUAUUACAUGG